UACGUAGGGCGCAAGCGUUGUCCGGAAUUAUUGGGCGUAAAGAGCUCGUAGGCGGUUUGUCGCGUCUGUCGUGAAAGCCCACGGCUUAACCGUGGGUCUGCGGUGGAUACGGGCAGACUAGAGGCAGGUAGGGGAGAAUGGAAUUCCCGGUGUAGCGGUGAAAUGCGCAGAUAUCGGGAGGAACACCGGUGGCGAAGGCGGUUCUCUGGGCCAUUACUGACGCUGAGGAGCGAAAGCGUGGGGAGCGAACAGG
rnacentral:rRNA from 1 species